UUACUUUCUAGUAGCAAAGCUAACGCGUUAAGUUCUCCGCCUGGGGAGUACGGCCGCAAGGUUAAAACUCAAAGAAAUUGACGGGGGCCCGCACAAGCGGUGGAGCAUGUGGUUUAAUUCGAUGCAACGCGAAAAACCUUACCUACCCUUGACAUCCUCGGAACUUGUCAGAGAUGACUUGGUGCCUUCGGGAACCGAGUGACAGGUGCUGCAUGGCUGUCGUCAGCUCGUGUCGUGAGAUGUUGGGUUAAGUCCCGUAACGAGCGCAACCCUCGUCCUUAGUUGCCAGCGGUUCGGCCGGGAACUCUAAGGAAACUGCCGGUGAUAAACCGGAGGAAGGUGAGGAUGAUGUCAAGUCAUCAUGGCCCUUACGGGUAGGGCUACACACGUGCUACAAUGGGCAGUACAAAGGGUUGCUACAUCGUGAGGUAAAGCUAAUCCCAAAAAACUGUUCGUAGUCCGGAUUGGAGUCUGCAACUCGACUCCAUGAAGUUGGAAUCGCUAGUAAUCGCGAAUCAGAAUGUCGCGGUGAAUACGUUCUCGGGCCUUGUACACACCGCCCGUCACACCAUGGAAGU
rnacentral:rRNA from 1 species